UUUUUAAUGAAAAUAUUUAAACAGCAAAUUGUUAGCAAAAACAAAAAAGAAUAGAUUUUGGGCGAUUACAGUCUAUCACCAAUAGAGGACGCCCUACACCAUGACAACACUGACAUGGAGCCUUUCUAACUUGAAUUGCAACAGAGAGUCAAAGAAACUCUUUAAAACUUUGCAUAUGGUUUUGUCACAUUCACAGUGUAAUGUAAUUAAUGUAUAGAAUACUAGUAUUCUCUCACUUUAUUAUAUUAUCAUGACUGGUGGCAGUAUCCUCACAGCACGUUUAGGGAAGUGAGAUGGGUGGCUCCCUCACCACUUCCUCUGAAGAGCACAAAAUGUUUCUGUCUGGUCUCAAGAAGGGGUUAUGGGUUUGAGCUUGAAAGGUCUUAAGGUCACACAAAAACACCCUAUAGACUGAAACUGAAAGUUGAACCGAUUAAUCCUGUGACGUGCAUGAGCUGUACUAAUUAACCUCAUAGAAAAACUCAUAGGGUGAAGAGUUAACUUAAUCUGACAUACUGACUUCAGGAAAAACAAAUCCACCAUGGAAGCAUGCUUACUUGCAAAAAAUGCACAUGCAAAAAUGAAAAACAAAGAAAAGGGAAACAUGCAAAACACGCUUGCAGGAUUUAAUCAUUAAAGUGGAAUGCAGCAAAACCUGCUUUCAUGUUUUGGCUGAACUUGCAACUGGCCCCUGAACAGUCUGUUACCAUGACGACAAAGAUUACCUCCGGGCAACCGUUGACAGUUGAUAGGUGUCCUGUUAAAAAAACAACAGAAUUGUUCACAGACUCAAUAAUCAUUAGGCUACUCACACACACAAGGUGUGAGCGGUUGCUGGCAACUCAGCUUUUGCACAAUUUCCAUGAUCACAAGCUGAUCUCUUGCAUGCACGCCGACUCAAGGAAGAGAGUUUCGGAAAGUACAUGAUGUCUUGUCUCGAAAGAGAAAGCAUAAAGUCUGAGUUCUGACAGUACUAGUGCACACGGUGACAGACCACUGCUGGAGUUUUGUACUAGAACAGAUAUGUGUAUCCCAAUGUUCCUAUUGGACGGUGCUGGUCAUGUGACAGUCCAUUCAUUUCAUUAGCCUACUUGUGACAGUCAGUGCAAGGAUCUCAGGACCCUCGAACGUCUGGAACAUCUGGACUAGCUUGUGUUUUGCUAGACUGUUGUGAUGUUGUGUAUUAACUAAAAUAUCUAUCUAUCUAUCUAUCUAUCUAUCUAUCUAUCUAUCUAUCUAUCUAUCUAUCUAUCUAUCUAUCUAUCUAUCUAUCUAUCUAUCUAUCUAUCUAUCUAUCUAUCUAUCUAUAAUCAUUUUAAAAAUAUUUCCUAGUAUGGCUGUGUUCCACCAGUCAUUUGAAGCACACUACUACGUUUUAUGUAGCCUAAAACAGUUUUAUAGAGUGUUGUAGUGCACUGCUUUGUAAGGCAUCUGUGGGGGAGCUAUGACUGGCUCAUUCUGAACAAAAGCAGAUGAGGAACUACUGUGAUGCUGCUGAGGCUGGAGCUAUCUAGUUCAGACCGGCGGCUGGGUGCUGCCUUCAGCACUGAAGGGCUCUUUGAAGGUGUGAAGCUCCUCCCCCUAUCCCACUUGGCUCUGUGCACUUAACGCCUGCCCGCUGCUUCACAGCAGAACAAGAUGUUCUCUCGAUUACUCCUGCUGCAAAAAAGGAACAACCGCUUUCACUUUCUGUUGCUGCUGAGGUACAUAAAAUCAGAGAUGGCCAAAGAAGAUUAUCACCCGCUCUGACAUCCAAUCCACAACCAGCAGCUGCCCUCACGGCCUCAUGAUUCAGUGCAGAACACUCUUGAUUGAACCAAGUCAGGCAUUUAAGAAAUCUACAGGUAGCAGCCCUCAAUCGUCAGUAAAAUAAGUGUGUGUGAUGUCUCUUUAAUGGGAGCUUUCACCACAUGCUCAGACAAAAACCACAUUAAAGGCAACACGGUGCAUUAGUAAAUGGUGUCUUGAAUGAAAUAGAUCACCCAAAAAUGAAAACUGCAUGACAAUGUGCUCACCCACAGACUAUACAGGAUAUGGAUGAGUUUGUUUCUUCAUCAGAACAGAUUUGGAGAAAUGUAGCAUUCCAUCACUUGCUCACCAAUGGAUCCUCUGCAGUGAAUGGGUGCCGUCAGAAUGAGAGUCCAAACAGCUGAUAAAAACGUCACAAUAGUCCACAAGUAAUCCACACCACACUACUCCAGUCCAUCAAUUAAUGUCUUUAAACUGAUCAGUAAAUUUUAAAUAUGGCUCCAUCAUUUUUACCAAAUAUUUGCAAGAAAAACAGGACUGAAAAUGUCUGCUCAACAAAUGAACCUAACGGCCUCAUAGAUGAUAAGCUCUGUCUAAAUAGGAGUCACUGAAUGUGAAACUGUAACUACACUUUACUAUUGAUUUCUCACAGCGGAUCGAUUUCUUACAGACAAUUUACUGAAGCUAAAACUCUCUCUUGAGAGAAGCACAUAAAUAAACAUUCGCACUAAUGAAACUGCACUUUCUCCAGUCUUUCAUUUGUUUAAACUUUCCAUGUAGGCAGCAUUUUCACAGGCAGUUCCUUCCUUGUUCCACCAUUUGAAGAUCAUUGUCUGUAAAGAGUGUGACUGGCGCCUCUGUUUGCAUGCAGCACUGUUUGAAUGAGGCUGCACUUUGAUAUUUUGAAAUGAUGUCUCCUGCUCAGAGAAGAGCAUAAGGAGCUGUAGGCCUCAAUCAUAUAUCUAAGACACAAAGUUUGUUCUUGUGAAAUGUGC